GUAUGUGGCUCAAGCGGUAGCGCGCUCGCCUGGCGUGCGUGCGGCCGGGGUUCAAUCCUCAGCACCACAUACA
rnacentral:tRNA from 1 species